GUCGGUGACCAAAAUUAACAAUCCUCGUUCAGGGCUAAGUGACGUGCUGUUCUGUUGAAGUGUCUGCCCCCACGUUAACAUGCACGUUACCAGGAAAACAAAUGAUAAAUAGUUUGAUGACGGUUUACGUUCGGGUUAAACAACUUCUCUAUAUUAUUUUGAUUACAUCUGUGACUAUCGUAAACCAUAUGGGGCAAUAUGAACGUCGCAUUUCUACUACCAACGUAAGGACUGCAAACAUUGCG